GACGAACCGUGCGAACGUUGUUCGGAAUCACUGGGCUUAAAGGGCGCGUAGGCGGGCUGGUAAGUCAGGGGUGAAAGCCCACGGCCCAACCGUGGAAGUGCCUUUGAUACUGCCGGCCUCGAGGGAGGUAGGGGCGUGCGGAACUUCCGGUGGAGCGGUGAAAUGCGUAGAUAUCAGGAGGAACACCAAUGGCGAAGGCAGCUCGCUGGGACGUGACUGACGCUGAGACGCGAAAGCGUGGGGAGCAAACAGG
rnacentral:rRNA from 1 species